AACGGACGCUGGCGGCAUGCCUAACACAUGCAAGUCGAACGAGACCUUCGGGUCUAGUGGCGCACGGGUGCGUAACGCGUGGGAAUCUACCCUUGGGUUCGGAAUAACUCAGAGAAAUUUGAGCUAAUACCGGAUGAUGUCGCAAGACCAAAGAUUUAUCGCCCAAGGAUGAGCCCGCGUAGGAUUAGCUUGUUGGUGAGGUAAAAGCUCACCAAGGCGACGAUCCUUAGCUGGUCUGAGAGGAUGAUCAGCCACACUGGGACUGAGACACGGCCCAGACUCCUACGGGAGGCAGCAGUGGGGAAUAUUGGACAAUGGGCGAAAGCCUGAUCCAGCAAUGCCGCGUGAGUGAUGAAGGCCUUAGGGUUGUAAAGCUCUUUUACCCGGGAUGAUAAUGACAGUACCGGGAGAAUAAGCCCCGGCUAACUCCGUGCCAGCAGCCGCGGUAAU
rnacentral:rRNA from 1 species